UACGUAGGGCGCGAGCGUUGUCCGGAAUUAUUGGGCGUAAAGAGCUCGUAGGCGGCCGGUUGCGUCUGCUGUGAAAUCCCGGGGCUUAACCCCGGGCGUGCAGUGGAUACGGGCCGGCUGGAGGCAGGCAGGGGAGAAUGGAAUUCCCGGUGUAGCGGUGGAAUGCGCAGAUAUCAGGAGGAACACCAAUAGCGAAGGCAGCUCGCUGGGACGGUACUGACGCUAAGGCGCGAAAGCUAGGGGAGCGAACAGG
rnacentral:rRNA from 1 species